rnacentral:rRNA from 1 species
AUUAGACGAAUCAUCUGGAAAGAUGAAUCAAAGAAGGUAAUAAUCCUGUAGUCGAAAAUGUUGUCUCUCUUGAGUGGAUCCUGAGUACGACGGAGCACGUGAAAUUCCGUCGGAAUCUGGGAGGACCAUCUCCUAAGGCUAAAUACUCUCUAGUGACCGAUAGUGAACCAGUACCGUGAGGGAAAGGUGAAAAGCACCCCGGAAGGGGAGUGAAAUAGAACCUGAAACCGUGUGCUUACAAGUAGUCAGAGCCCGUUAA